rnacentral:rRNA from 1 species
UACGAAGGGGGCUAGCGUUGCUCGGAUUGACUGGGCGUAAAGGGCGCGUAGGCGGUUCGUACAGUCAGACGUGAAAUUCCUGGGCUCAACCUGGGGGCUGCGUUUGAUACGUGCGGACUUGAGUGCGGAAGAGGGUCGUGGAAUUCCCAGUGUAGAGGUGAAAUUCGUAGAUAUUGGGAAGAACACCAGUGGCGAAGGCGACUUACUGGACACAUAUUGACGCUGAGGUGCGAAAGCGUGGGGAGCAAACAGGG